UACGAAGGGGGCUAGCGUUGCUCGGAAUCACUGGGCGUAAAGCGCACGUAGGCGGAUUGCUAAGUCAGGGGUGAAAUCCUGGAGCUCAACUCCAGAACUGCCUUCGAUACUGGGGAGUCUUGAGUCCGGGAGAGGUGAGUGGAACUGCGAGUGUAGAGGUGAAAUUCGUAGAUAUUCGCAAGAACACCAGUGGCGAAGGCGGCUCACUGGCCCGGUACUGACGCUGAGGUGCGGAAAGCGUGGGGAGCAAACAGGGAUUAGAA
rnacentral:rRNA from 1 species